rnacentral:lncRNA from 1 species
AUUUGCUCUUGGAAUUCUCCCUCUCAGGAAACUAACAGCCUGCUAUGAAGCCCAAGCCACAAAGAGAGGCCAAGGGGAAAUAAACAGAGUGUGAUUAUAUGCAAAACCUACAAGAAUGAGGACCUCCAAACUCAGUGUACAGAGUGAUUUUCUGCUGAAACAAUUGGAAAAUAAAAGAGACAUCAGUGUGUGAAUGACGACUUUCUGUUGCUGACUUGGAAGACAGAGGAAUUGGGUCAUGAGCCGAGGAAGGUGGGCAGCUUCUAAAAGGCGGAAAAGGCAGGGGAUGGCUCUGGCAGAGAAUCACUCCUGAGUACAACUUUCUGGCGGAAGCUCUAAUACAAGAUGUAUACAGAAAAUUACAUUAAAUACCUGUCUCCAGCCUGCUUCAUGUAUUUCUGCAAUGACUAAAGAUGCAUGUUCAGUUUUGGAGGAAUCUUGGGCAACCUUCAGAAAAGAAGAGCGGCAUUGAAUUAAAUGGACUAUAAAAGGAAAUCUUUCAGCUGAAGUAUUCUGACAGCAGCAUAUUCUUGCCAACCAGGUCGUUCCAAAUGUGUAUCUGACCAUUAUUUUAAAUUAGAAGAUAUACCACUGUCAAACCAUAUCAGCCAAGAAUAAAAAGUGACAUAAUAAUGUUAAAGGAAAAA